rnacentral:tRNA from 1 species
GUGGCUCCAUGGUAGAGCAUCUGCUUGGCAUGCAGAAGGUCCCAGGUUCAAUCCCAGCAUCUCCA